UGGGGAAUAUUGCACAAUGGGCGCAAGCCUGAUGCAGCCAUGCCGCGUGUAUGAAGAAGGCCUUCGGGUUGUAAAGUACUUUCAGCGGGGAGGAAGGCGAUAAGGUUAAUAACCUUGUCGAUUGACGUUACCCGCAGAAGAAGCACCGACUAACUCCGUGCCAGCAGCCGCGGUAAUACGGAGGGUGCAAGCGUUAACGGGACUUACUGGGCGUAAAGCGCACGCAGGCGGUCUGUCAAGUCGGAUGUGAAAUCCCCGGGCUCAACCUGGGAACUGCAUUCGAAACUGGCAGGCUAGAGUCUUGUAGAGGGGGGUAGAAUUCCAGGUGUAGCGGUGAAAUGCGUAGAGAUCUGGAGGAAUACCGGUGGCGAAGGCGGCCCCCUGGACAAAGACUGACGCUCAGGUGCGAAAGCGUGGGGAGCAAACA
rnacentral:rRNA from 1 species